UUUGUUCUCCUUGUUUUUCUCUUUUUUGCCAAACAUUUCAUAUUUAUGAUUAACAAAAAAAAAAACAUUUCAUAUUUAUGAUAUAUAUUCACAUUUUAGCAACAAUUUUUUUUUCUGUAAAUUCACGGAAAACAUAUGUACUUAUCGUAGCGGCAAUCUAUGUUUGAUUGUUCGUAGUAGAUGAGUUAGGAGGAGCUGAGAUAUUGUGGGUUACUUCUGCACCAUGCAUUAAGUUUGAGAAUGAAAUAUCAUACUCAUAACAUGCAAACAAAAUAGGGUAGGUUGUGAAUACAAGUUUUUGAAGAUUU
rnacentral:lncRNA from 1 species